ACCUGGUCUUGACAUCCCGGAGACCCUUAGGAAACUAGGGGUGCUUCCAUCUGGAAGAAUCUGGAGACAGGUGCUGCAUGGCUGUCGUCAGCUCGUGUCGUGAGAUGUUGGGUUAAGUCCCGCAACGAGCGCAACCCUUGCCUUUAGUUGCCAGCAGUUCGGCUGGGCACUCUAAAGGGACUGCCGGUGUUAAACCGGAGGAAGGUGGGGAUGACGUCAAGUCCUCAUGGCCUUUAUGACCAGGGCUACACACGUACUACAAUGGCCGAUACAAAGGGCAGCGACACUGCGAGGUGAAGCCAAUCCCGUAAAAUCGGUCUCAGUCCGGAUUGGAGUCUGCAACUCGACUCCAUGAAGUUGGAAUCGCUAGUAAUCGUGGAUCCAGCAUCGCCACGGUGAAUACGUUCCCGGGCCUU
rnacentral:rRNA from 1 species